rnacentral:rRNA from 1 species
AAUCAACGCUGGCGGCGUGCCUAACACAUGCAAGUCGAACGCUGCUAGCCCCUUCGGGGACUAGCAGAGUGGCGUCCGGGUGAGUAACACGUAGGUAAUCUACCUUUGGGUGGGGAAUAACGUCUCGAAAGAGGCGCUAAUACCGCAUAAUGCAGCGGCAGCUAAUGCUGAAUAGUUGUUAAAGCGGGGGACCACUUGUGGCCUCGUGCCUGAAGAGGAGCCNGCGGCAGAUUAGCUAGUUGGUGAGGUAACGGCUCACCAAGGCAACGAUCUGUAGCUGGUCUGAGAGGACGGCCAGCCACACUGGCACUGACACACGGGCCAGACUCCUACGGGAGCAGCAGUGGGAAUUUUGGGCAAUGGGCGAAAGCCUGACCCAGCAACGCCGCGUGAAGGAGGAAAUCCUUCGGGA